rnacentral:rRNA from 1 species
UAGGGUGCGAGCGUUGUCCGGAAUUACUGGGCGUAAAGAGCUCGUAGGUGGUUUGUCGCGUUGUUCGUGAAAUCUCACGGCUUAACUGUGAGCGUGCGGGCGAUACGGGCAGACUUGAGUACUGCAGGGGAGACUGGAAUUCCUGGUGUAGCGGUGGAAUGCGCAGAUAUCAGGAGGAACACCGGUGGCGAAGGCGGGUCUCUGGGCAGUAACUGACGCUGAGGAGCGAAAGCGUGGGGAGCGAACAGGAUUAGAUACCCUGGUAGUCCACGCCGUAAACGGUGGGUACUAGGUGUGGGUUUCCUUCCUUGGGAUCCGUGCCGUAGCUAACGCAUUAAGUACCCCGCCUGGGGAGUACGGCCGCAAGGCUAAAACUCAAAGAAAUUGACGGGGGCCCGCACAAGCGGCGGAGCAUGUGGAUUAAUUCGAUGCAACGCGAAGAACCUUACCUGGGUUUGACAUGCACAGGACGCCGGCAGAGAUGUCGGUUCCCUUGUGGCCUGUGUGCAGGUGGUGCAUGGCUGUCGUCAGCUCGUGUCGUGAGAUGUUGGGUUAAGUCCCGCAACGAGCGCAACCCUUGUCUCAUGUUGCCAGCGGGUAAUGCCGGGGACUCGUGAGAGACUGCCGGGGUCAACUCGGAGGAAGGUGGGGAUGACGUCAAGUCAUCAUGCCCCUUAUGUCCAGGGCUUCACACAUGCUACAAUGGCCGGUACAAAGGGCUGCGAUGCCGCGAGGUUAAGCGAAUCCUUUUAAAGCCGGUCUCAGUUCGGAUCGGGGUCUGCAACUCGACCCCGUGAAGUCGGAGUCGCUAG